CCGGAAGCAACGCCUAGGACAGGUUGUCUCCACCAUGGCCUGGGCUCUAAUCCUCUUCACUCUGUUUGCUCACUGCACAGGGUCUUGGAUCCAGGUUGUGUUUACGCAGCCUCAGUCUGUGUCAGGGUCUCCAGGGCAGAAGGUCACCAUCUCCUGCACCCGCAGCAGCGGCAACAUUGGGGGCAAUUAUGUGCACUGGAACCAGCAGCGCCCGGGCGGCACCCCCACCACUGUGAUCUAUAGAGAUAACCAAAGACCCUCUGGGGUUCCAGAUCGGUUCUCAGGCUCCAUCCACAGCUCCUCCAACUCGGCCUCCCUGACCAUCUCUGAUCUGCAGACUGAGGACGAGGCCAACUAUUACUGUCUGUCUAGUUAUGAUAACUAUUAUCACACAGUGCUCUAG